rnacentral:lncRNA from 1 species
UCAUAGGAAGGAAUCACAAAUGACAACAGUUUGCAUGUUUUAUUUUCUCAGGCUUUCCUGUGGGCUACUUAAUCAUUUUAAAAUCCUUUCUGAGGGACAGCUAGCAAUGAAUGUAUAUGCAGAUGAAUCUAUGGGUUAUGGAAAUGAAGGCAUUGUCCCUAGAGGUAAAGAUCAGACGGAGACCUCAGGGUUUAGCAACUCCUAACCAAAUAUUCCAAGACAAAGACAAAAAGAAGGGAGAAAAAGGAAAAAGGAAAAGAAAAAAAUAAUGGGUUGGGGAAAGGAAACCAAGAAGAAAUGAUGUUGCCACAGUAUGUGAUCUGACCACGUGGGAAGAGGAUGGGUAAGAGCAAAGAGAUCAAGAAGUGGCCACUGCCCUUGUAGACUCAGACCUACAGAGAACCAAUGUUGCAGGGUGCUUUUCUGAAUUCAAGGGAAAGCCAAAAUGAGAGAGGGUGAAAACUUGUGUGCAUCUUGCAUAUUUCUUUCUCACUUCUGAUGAUAAUAAUAUUCUUCUGAUAAUAAUAAUUAAAAAUAACAAUAAUAACAAUAACAAUAGUCAGAUAUUAAGUCUUUUAUGUGUGUUAUCUGAUUUAAUCCUAACAUCAAACCUGUGAAGUAGGAGCUGUUAUCCCAAUUUUGCAGGCAAAGUUUAAUUGAGUUUAUGUGACAUCCUUAGGGGCACACAGUUCAUAAGUGUCUGAGGAGGGAUUGGACCUCAGCUCUUCCUGACUAUAUAGUCAGCACUCUACCCACUGUGUCAUCCAGCAAUAUCAUAUGAUCUAGUCUGAUUUACUCUGCUAGGACAACUAAUCUCCCCUUUUUCUAGGGUCAUGAAUCCCACUGAAUGUUGACAGCAAAAUAAAGCAAAACAAAACAAAACA